rnacentral:rRNA from 1 species
GACGAACGCUGGCGGCGUGCUUUAUACAUGCAAGUCGAACGAUGAAGUUCCUUCGGGAAUGGAUUCGUGGCGAACGGGUGCGGAACACGUUAGAAACCUGCCUUUCAUUCUGGGAUAACACCGGGAAACCGGUUCUAAUACCGGAUACUCCGUCUUGGCGGCAUCGCCGCGCCGGGAAAAAAUUUUGAUGAAAGACGGUCUCGCGGCCUAUCAGCUAUUUGGGGAGGUAAAGGCUCACCAAGGCGACGACGGGUAGCCGGCCUGAGAGGGCGACCGGCCACACUGGGACUGGGACAAGGCCCAGACUCCUACGGGGGGCAGCAGUAGGGAAUAUUGGGCAAUGGGGGCAAGCCUGACCCAGCGACGCCGCGUGAGGGAUGAAGGUCUUCGGAUUGUAAACCUCUUUCAGUAGGGAAGAAGCGAAAGUGACGGUACCUAAAGAAGAAGCACCGGCUAACUAUGUGCCAGCAGCCGCCGUAA